GCCUGGGUGGCACAGCGGUUAAGCGUCUGCCUUAGGCUCAGGGCAUGAUCCCGGCGAUAUGGGAUCGAGCCCCAUCUCGGGCU
rnacentral:tRNA from 1 species